rnacentral:rRNA from 1 species
GAUGAACGCUGGCGGCGUGCCUAAUACAUGCAAGUCGAGCGAACAGACGAGGAGCUUGCUCCUCUGACGUUAGCGGCGGACGGGUGAGUAACACGUGGAUAACCUACCUAUAAGACUGGGAUAACUUCGGGAAACCGGAGCUAAUACCGGAUAACAUGUUGAACCGCAUGGUUCAACAGUGAAAGACGGUCUUGCUGUCACUUAUAGAUGGAUCCGCGCCGCAUUAGCUAGUUGGUAAGGUAACGGCUUACCAAGGCAACGAUGCGUAGCCGACCUGAGAGGGUGAUCGGCCACACUGGAACUGAGACACGGUCCAGACUCCUACGGGAGGCAGCAGUAGGGAAUCUUCCGCAAUGGGCGAAAGCCUGACGGAGCAACGCCGCGUGAGUGAAGAAGGUCUUCGGAUCAUAAAACUCUGUUAUUAGGGAAGAACAAAUGUGUAAGUAACUAUGCACGUCUUGACGGUACCUAAUCAGAAAGCCACGGCUAACUACGUG